rnacentral:rRNA from 1 species
CCGCCACUGUUUAAAGUGGAGGAAGGAGGGGGGCAACGGUAGGUCAGUAUGCCCCGAAUCUCCCGGGCUACACGCGCGCUACAAAGGCCAGGACAAUGGGCUUCGACACCGAGAGGUGAAGGCAACCCCCAAACCUGGUCGUAAUUCGGAUUGAGGGCUGCAAUUCGCCCUCAUGAAGCUGGAAUACGUAGUAAUCGCGGGUCAACAUCCCGCGGUGAAUAUGCCCCUGCUCCUUGCACACACCGCCCGUCAAACCACCUUAGUUGGGUCUGGACGAGGGUUUGUCUUUUGACACGCUCGAAUCUGGGUUCAGCGAGGAGGGUUAAGUCGUAACAAGGUA